AGCGCGCCCCGACUUGAGCGGAGCUCGUCAUUGCGAGGGACAAACAAUCAUACAAUAGGAUUGCUUCGUUCCUCGCAAUGACAGCGGGAGUGGAAGGCGGAUAAAGGC
rnacentral:misc_RNA from 1 species